CUAGUGCAGACAGGCAGUUCUGAUUAUGUAUGCAAAUACAGGUCUGGCCCUGAAGCUUAUUUGAGAGCCACACAGCUCAGCUAAGCCACCCUGGAGAAAGAAUCUUACAAAGAAUACUAAAGAGCAUCCAAGUGUGAAGAAUGAAACACACAAUGCACAUGAAGUCCAGCCAUGGUGUAGCCAAGGAGACCCACUAAGACCACCAAAAGCUUGGAAAUGAGGAUGCAGGGGCAAAGGACGGCAUUAUAGGCGCACACUUGAUUUCCUAGAAGUCUCGGACAAACUUUGGCAUGCAGACAGCUUUCCACUUCAAGAGUUUGCCCUUCACUUCUGACAUCACUCUCCAGAAUCAUGAGCACAACCCAGAAAUGUGGGUAAGCUGAUGCCCAAGGGGAAAUCUUGAAUGAAUGGGGAAUAGGAGUUGGUGCGCAAAUGCCCCAGCCUUCCCAUCCUCCAGGGAAGCUGACUCAGAGGUGUGAUCCACAUGUUGUUUCACCUGGCUCCACACAGCAUUGAAUGUUAAUUGCCUUCAGCAUAACCAGCUCAUUAACACACAUUUAUUACCUUUCCUCCCCUCUAUCACUCUCCUUGUUCCCUUACUUGCAGUUCUUGAGACCACCUUGCAAAUAAAUGACCUAUACCCAAUCUUCAUCUCAGCAUCUGUUUUGAGGGAAUUCAAACUAAGACAGGAGCCCAGAGAAGCUAAAGGAUUUCUGUUCCUUUUCCCUGGGGAGGCUACUCUUCCCACUAAAUGAACUUCUUUUCUGAAGAUCCACUGAACUGGCAGAGUCCAUUCAAUGAGACAUCUUGAGCCUCAGCCCCUGAAGCUCCACGCCAAGGCUCUCAACAUGAUUCUAUUCCAUGUGCAUUCAUUCUGUUGAAUAAACCACAGUUCAGCUUUGUUCAGUAA
rnacentral:lncRNA from 1 species